rnacentral:rRNA from 1 species
UACGGGCGGCUGCAGUGGGGAAUAUUGGACAAUGGGCGAAAGCCUGAUCCAGCCAUGCCGCGUGUGUGAAGAAGGCCUUCGGGUUGUAAAGCACUUUCAGUGGGGAAGAAAGCCUUGGGGCUAAUACCCUCGAGGAAGGACAUCACCCACAGAAGAAGCACCGGCUAACUCCGUGCCAGCAGCCGCGGUAAUACGGAGGGUGCGAGCGUUAAUCGGAAUUACUGGGCGUAAAGCGCGCGUAGGCGGUCUGAUAAGCCGGUUGUGAAAGCCCCGGGCUCAACCUGGGAACGGCAUCCGGAACUGUCAGGCUAGAGUGCAGGAGAGGAAGGUAGAAUUCCCGGUGUAGCGGUGAAAUGCGUAGAGAUCGGGAGGAAUACCAGUGGCGAAGGCGGCCUUCUGGACUGACACUGACGCUGAGGUGCGAAAGCGUGGGUAGCAAACAGGAUUAGAUACCCGAGUAGUC